GAGCCCAACCUCCCACCCGUGUUUACUGUACCUUAGUUGCUUCGGCGGGCCCGCCAUUCAUGGCCGCCGGGGGCUCUCAGCCCCGGGCCCGCGCCCGCCGGAGACACCACGAACUCUGUCUGAUCUAGUGAAGUCUGAGUUGAUUGUAUCGCAAUCAGUUAAAACUUUCAACAAUGGAUCUCUUGGUUCCGGCAUCGAUGAAGAACGCAGCGAAAUGCGAUAACUAGUGUGAAUUGCAGAAUUCCGUGAAUCAUCGAGUCUUUGAACGCACAUUGCGCCCCCUGGUAUUCCGGGGGGCAUGCCUGUCCGAGCGUCAUUGCUGCCCAUCAAGCACGGCUUGUGUGUUGGGUCGUCGUCCCCUCUCCGGGGGGGACGGGCCCCAAAGGCAGCGGCGGCACCGCGUCCGAUCCUCGAGCGUAUGGGGCUUUGUCACCCGCUCUGUAGGCCCGGCCGGCGCUUGCCGAACGCAAAUCAAUCUUUUCCAGGUUGACCUCGGAUCAGGUAGGGAUACCCGCUGAACUUAA
rnacentral:rRNA from 1 species